rnacentral:misc_RNA from 1 species
GAUGAAGAACGUAGCGAAAUGCGAUAAGUAAUGUGAAUUGCAGAAUUCAGUGAAUCAUCGAAUCUUUGAACGCACCUUGCGCUCCUUGGUAUUCCGAGGAGCAUGCCUGUUCGAGCGUCAUUAUAACCCCUCAAGCUCAGCUUGGUGUUGGGGCCUGCUGCACUGGCAGCCCUUAAAAUCAGUGGCGGCGCCAUCUGGCUCUAAGCGUAGUAAUUCUUCUCGCUAUGGAGUCCUGGUGGAUGCUUGCCAUCAACCCCCAAUUUUUCUAUGGUUGACCUCGGAUCAGGUAGGGAUACCCGCUGAACUUAAGCAUAUCAAUAAGCGGAGGA